rnacentral:tRNA from 1 species
GACCGGCUGGGCUGCGCCGGAGAAACAGGCGCGGCUGCUGCCCGCGCUGGCCAGCGGCCAGACCAUUCUGGCGCUGGCAU